rnacentral:rRNA from 1 species
AGUGAACGCUGGCGGUAGGCCUAACACAUGCAAGUCGAACGGCAGCACAGUAAGAGCUUGCUCUUACGGGUGGCGAGUGGCGGACGGGUGAGGAAUACAUCGGAAUCUACUUUUUCGUGGGGGAUAACGUAGGGAAACUUACGCUAAUACCGCAUACGACCUACGGGUGAAAGCAGGGGAUCUUCGGACCUUGCGCGAUUGAAUGAGCCGAUGUCGGAUUAGCUAGUUGGCGGGGUAAAGGCCCACCAAGGCGACGAUCCGUAGCUGGUCUGAGAGGAUGAUCCGCCCACCUGGACCUGAGACCCGUCCCAGCCUCCUAGGGGGGGCAGCAGGGGGGAAUUUUGGAAAAUGGGCGCAAGCCUGAUCCAGCCAUCCCGGGUGGGUGAAGAAGGCCUUCGGGUUGUAAAGCCCUUUUUUUGGGAAAAAAAAGCAGCAGGUUAAUCCCCCGCUGUUCUGACGGUACCCAAAGAAUAAGCACCGGCUAACUUCGU